rnacentral:rRNA from 1 species
UACGGAAGGCAGCAGUGGGGAAUAUUGCACAAUGGGCGAAAGCCUGAUGCAGCUAUGCCGCGUGUAUGAAGAAGGCCUUAGGGUUGUAAAGUACUUUCAUCGGGGAGGAAAAAACAAAACUAAUAAUUUUAUUUCUUGACGUUACCCGAAAAAGAAGCACCGGCUAACUCCGUGCCAGCAGCCGCGGUAAUACGGAGGGUGCUAGCGUUAAUCAGAAUUACUGGGCGUAAAGAGCACGUAGGUGGUUUUUUUAAAGUCAGAUGUGAAAUCCCUGGGCUUAACCUGGAACUGCAUUUUGAAACUGAAAUACUAGAGUAUCGUAGAGGGAGGUAGAAUUCUAGGUGUAGCGGUGAAAUGCGUAGAUAUCUGGAGGAAUACCUGUGGCGAAAGCGGCCUCCUAAACGAAUACUGACACUGAGGUGCGAAAAGCGUGGGGAGCAAACAGGGAUUAGAUACC